CCUUAGUAGCGGCGAGUGAAGCGGCAAAAGCUCAAAUUUGAAAUCUGGCGCCUUCGGUGUCCGAGUUGUAAUUUGAAGAUUGUAACCUUGGGGUUGGCUCUUGUCUAUGUUUCUUGGAACAGGACGUCACAGAGGGUGAGAAUCCCGUGCGAUGAGAUGCCCAAUUCUAUGUAAGGUGCUUUCGAAGAGUCGAGUUGUUUGGGAAUGCAGCUCUAAGUGGGUGGUAAAUUCCAUCUAAAGCUAAAUAUUGGCGAGAGACCGAUAGCGAACAAGUACAGUGAUGGAAAGAUGAAAAGAACUUUGAAAAGAGAGUGAAAAAGUACGUGAAAUUGUUGAAAGGGAAGGGUUUGAGAUCAGACUCGAUAUUUUGUGAGCCUUGCCUUCGUGGCGGGGUGACCCGCACGCCCGUCCCAGGCCAGCAUCAGUUCGCGCCGGGGGACAAAGGCGGCGGGAACGUGGCUCCCCAGGGAGUGUUAUAGCCCGCCGCGCCAUGCCCCGGGGGCGGACUGAGGGCCGCGCAUCACUGCAAGGAUGCUGGCGUAAUGGUCACCAGCGACCCGUCUUGAAACACGGGCCAAGGAGUCGUCCUCGUAUGCGAGUGUUCGGGUGUCAAACCCCUACGCGGAAUGAAAGUGAACGUGGGUGAGAGCUUCGGCGCAUCAUCGACCGAUCCUGAUGUUCUCGGAUGGAUUUGAGUAGGAGCAUACGGGGCCGGACCCGAAAGAAGGUGAACUAUGCCUGUGUAGGGUGAAGCCAGAGGAAACUCUGGUGGAGGCUCGCAGCGGUUCUGACGUGCAAAUCGAUCGUCAAACAUGGGCAUGGGGGCGAAAGACU
rnacentral:rRNA from 1 species